UCAGGAUGAACGCUGGCGGCGUGCUUAACACAUGCAAGUCGAACGAUGAUCCCCAGCUUGCUGGGGGGAUUAGUGGCGAACGGGUGAGUAACACGUGAGUAACCUGCCCUUAACUCUGGGAUAAGCCUGGGAAACUGGGUCUAAUACCGGAUAUGACUCCUCAUCGCAUGGUGGGGGGUGGAAAGCUUUUUUGUGGUUUUGGAUGGACUCGCGGCCUAUCAGCUUGUUGGUGAGGUAAUGGCUUACCAAGGCGACGACGGGUAGCCGGCCUGAGAGGGUGACCGGCCACACUGGGACUGAGACACGGCCCAGACUCCUACGGGAGGCAGCAGUGGGGAAUAUUGCACAAUGGGCGCAAGCCUGAUGCAGCGACGCCGCGUGAGGGAUGACGGCCUUCGGGUUGUAAACCUCUUUCAGUAGGGAAGAAGCGAAAGUGACGGUACCUGCAGAAGAAGCGCCGGCUAACUACGUGCCAGCAGCCGCGGUAAUACGUAGGGCGCAAGCGUUAUCCGGAAUUAUUGGGCGUAAAGAGCUCGUAGGCGGUUUGUCGCGUCUGCCGUGAAAGUCCGGGGCUCAACUCCGGAUCUGCGGUGGGUACGGGCAGACUAGAGUGAUGUAGGGGAGACUGGAAUUCCUGGUGUAGCGGUGAAAUGCGCAGAUAUCAGGAGGAACACCGAUGGCGAAGGCAGGUCUCUGGGCAUUAACUACG
rnacentral:rRNA from 1 species